CCCCCUCUAGUCCGCCAUCUCGACCCUUCUAGGAGUAAACUCCACUAGCCUAAUUCUCUGGUACCUCCUUGAGCCACGUCAUCAUUCACUUCUUUGCUGCCGCAUGCAAGUAUUUACUCAUAAAUAGUUUCAGUAGUGGAUGCAGUUACCUAUAUAUGAUCAUACAUACAUACUGCUAGCAUUAUUCUCUCACGUGACUUCCUCUCUUUCUCUUUGAAAACAAACUACUAAUAGUUAAGCUAUAUAUAGAUGACUUGAUCGAUUAUAGUGAAAAUAUAUUUAUAUUUCUCCUCCAUAUCGGUGCGUAUAAAGAAUCCUCAUAGUUUCUAUAGACUAGCAACCUUACUCGAUUUGACAAUAUUAGAGAAAAAUAAGCUCCAAUGGGGAAAAAGUUUCUAUGACUACGUGAAGCACGCCAACCCCC
rnacentral:lncRNA from 1 species